AUUGAACGCUGGCGGCAUGCCUUACACAUGCAAGUCGAACGGCAGCACGGGAGCAAUCCUGGUGUCGAGUGGCGAACGGGUGAGUAAUGUAUCGGAACGUGCCCAGUCGUGGGGGAUAACGUAGCGAAAGCUACGCUAAUACCGCAUACGAUCUAUGGAUGAAAGCGGGGGAUCGCAAGAACUCGCGCGAUUGCAGUGGCCGAGAUCAGAGUAGGUAGGUGGUGGGGUAAAGGCUCACCAAGCCGACGAUCUGGAGCUGGUCUGAGAGGACGACCAGCCACACUGGGACUGAGACACGGCCCAGACUCCUACGGGAGGCAGCAGUGGGGAAUUUUGGACAAUGGGCGCAAGCCUGAUCCAGCAAUGCCGCGUGCAGGAUGAAGGCCUUCGGGUUGUAAACUGCUUUUGUACGGAACGAAACGGCGAGCUCUAAUACAGUUUGCUAAUGACGGUACCGUAAGAAUAAGCACCGGCUAACUACGUGCCAGCCGCCGCAGUAA
rnacentral:rRNA from 1 species